CUUCCUAAGAAAAUGAAACCAUUGAGGAGGAAACACUGGUCGGUUCGCACCAAAAGCAUGUUCGCACCAUGCUACUGCUUCAUAAGAGCCAAAGCAGUUCCUAGACUACAAGUGUAAGUGUGGUAAUUGAAGUCAAUUCUAAGGUGGGAAAACAACAAAGAAGAGCCAUACAGAUUGCAGCUCAAAAUUUCAAUAAUCAUUCAAAGACUCAGAACAUUACCCUUUUAUUCCAUGACUCUGUCUGCAGGAAACCCUUUACAAGCAGCUUCAACGGGUGAUUAUCAUAAACUUGAUUAUGAUCCUAUUGUCAUUAUCUCUUAAAUCCAAUCCAGUGAGAGAAUCAAAGAAACUAUCUCGAUAGAAAAGAAGCAACCAAUAAAUAGUAAAAGCAGAAUCAUAAAUUACGGGAUACUGAAAAGAAGCAAGCGAUAAAAG
rnacentral:lncRNA from 1 species